UGGGGAAUUUUGGACAAUGGGCGCAAGCCUGAUCCAGCAAUGCCGCGUGCAGGAUGAAGGCCUUCGGGUUGUAAACUGCUUUUGUACGGAACGAAAAAGCUCUCUCUAAUACAGGGGGUGAAUGACGGUACCGUAAGAAUAAGCACCGGCUAACUACGUGCCAGCAGCCGCGGUAAUACGUAGGGUGCAAGCGUUAAUCGGAAUUACUGGGCGUAAAGCGUGCGCAGGCGGUUUUGUAAGACAGAGGUGAAAUCCCCGGGCUCAACCGGGGAACUGCCUUUGUGACUGCAAAGCUGGAGUGCGGCAGAGGGGGAUGGAAUUCCGCGUGUAGCAGUGAAAUGCGUAGAUAUGCGGAGGAACACCGAUGGCGAAGGCAAUCCCCUGGGCCUGCACUGACGCUCAUGCACGAAAGCGUGGGGAGCAAACA
rnacentral:rRNA from 1 species